UACAAAGCUAGAAAAAUCGCCGCAAUCAUAAAAAAUUAUAUAGUUUAAAUUUAAAAAAUACAUGUUUUUUAUUUUUUUUUUUUAAUUUCUUUAACAUAUUCGAAGCUUUUUCAAAUUGUGGAGGAACCUUCUGUGAUCACUCUCUUGUGUUCCUGCAACGCGCACUUCCUCGAAAUACGCUUUCGCCUACGGCCGAUCUUUCGGCGUGCAAACACUACCGGAAUCUUAUCGCGUCUUGGCUCGUCUGGAUGGGCGUUGCAUCGUCUUCCGGUUCGCGCGCCGCUCUCGCUCGUUCAUUCAUACAAAUUAACAGGCUCUCGUAAAUUGUACGCGAUGAGCAGCGCGGCAGCGCGUCCGUCGCAAUUAAGCGCGAUUGUGCCGCCUAGAGAGUCACUCUCGUUCGUCAUCGCAAGAGCGCAAUGAAUUCGUGUCAUGCCAGAAGAUGUUGACCGGAUUAGACCGCGAGUCGAAUUGAGAGAAUGACCAAACGCGCGCGCGGGACUCAUUGUCUACCGCGCGACAAAUUGAUAUUAACCGAAGAAUUACGCCGGCCGCACUGCCUAGCCGCUCGUCUCGCCGUCUCGGAACUUUUUCUAGACCGGGUCGUAAAUUGAAGUUCGUCACGUGGAGAAACUACGCUAAGUUUUCUAAUCUAUGAGAUGGCCAGAAAAAAUUUCUAACUUUUUCUAGCCUCGUAAAGAAAGAUAGGACAAGUAGAUACUGUAAAGUGUGUAACAUCAUUCUUGCUCCUCUUAUUAAUGAAUUUGUGAAAUGUCCGUAGAAAUUUUUUCACUUUUUGUUUCAUGGAAAGAAAUAGGAUAGAUAGACAUUGUGCAUUUUUUAAUGUUCUUUCUUAUUAAUAAAUUUGGUGAAUUCAGAUGAAUCUUUUUUAGUUGUAAAUUUGACAUAAUCAUGAAAUUGUUUUUUAAAAAACAUUAAAAUUAACAAAACACAUAAGCAGGCGACCAAAUUUUGGUUUUUAUUUUAUUCUUACUUUAAUUCAACGGAAUUUUAAUUUAUAAUGAAAGGAAUGCGAUGUUCUUAUAAUUUUGUAUUAUAAUAAAUUUAAAAAAUUGUGACAAAUAAUGAUUUUCUAUAAAAUUUUUACUAACCAAGUUUAUUUUAUGUUUUAGGAGCAAAGCUUCUUGGAGAAUCAUGGCAAAGAAAACAAAUUAAUACAAGAUGAAAUUCAGGAUUCCAAUUACAACACUGUGUUCACUGAUAAGACAUCAUAAUAAUAUCAAAGUUUGUCGACCUAGCCGUUUAACAAAUCCAUUAAAAGGUCUGCCACAUUUAUUACAGCGUUUUUCUGCUCGUUAUGGCGAUUGGUAUCAUCAAGUAUGUAUUAAAAUAGAAUGUAUUUAAUUAAAGCGGACUAUCAAUAAGGGCCUGUUGCACGUAAUGCACAGUUUGUUGCAUAAACGCGACAGGGAAACGACUGUUUUAUUUACCGUAUU